CAGAAAGUCGUCUGUGUUUGAAAUAGAUGACUAUGAGGAUAUUGAUCUCAUCAGGAAUCCAAUGGAAUCGAGUCUGAAAGCCAAGUUGAAGAUGAAGAUGAGGAAAAGAGUUCAAGCGGAGGCUCUUCUAGGACUCAAUAUGAUGAUGUUGAGGAACGUAGUGACAGACCACAAGAAGCCCUGCUGCACCACUCCUGCCCCCCAGACCUGCUAACUUACACGAUGAUGUAAGUUAUAAGGCUGAGCUGGAGGUGCUGGAGGACUAUGAUGAUGCCAUGCCUGCCCAGGCUGUAGUCAGUGAGACAGGAGAAAGUCCUGGCUCAGAGACUAGCGAGGUGUCAUAUCUUGGUAGGACCUGAUGAUUAGACAAAAGCCAGAGAGACACGAGUGAACAGGCUUUUACUGAAGCAUGGCUGGAGAUACAAAAAAUGUGCUGGCUUUUUUUUUUUUCAGAUUUAGCCAAAAACUUUUAUUUUGGUGCAUCACUAACAGAUUUGCUUGGCUAGCUAGCUCACAGCACUUACUGAAGGACUAAACUAUCUGCAGUCUUACAAAUGAAGGCUCUUAAACAGUUCUUGACUUGACUAUACAGCUCUAAAAAAUACCUGGAGUAGAAACAUGAGGAGGCUGUAAGGUUCUUCACACCUACUAACAAAACUGCUCUAUUAAAGAAUUCUUUGGCA